GCCGCCGCGGUAAUACCGGCGGCUCGAGUGGUGGCCACUUUUAUUGGGCUUAAAGCGCUCGUAGCUGGGUUGUUAAGUCUCUUGGGAAAUCUGGCAGCUUAACUGUCAGGCGUCUAAGAGAUACUGGCAAUCUAGGAACCGGGAGAGGUGAGGGGUACUUCGGGGGUAGGAGUGAAAUCCUGUAAUCCUCGAGGGACCACCUGUGGCGAAGGCGCCUCACCAGAACGGCUUCGACAGUGAGGGACGAAAGCUGGGGGAGCAAACCGGAUUAGAUACCCGGGUAGUCCCAGCCGUAAACGAUGCGCGUUAGGUGUGUCGAUGACCACGAGUCAUCGAGGUGCCGAAGGGAAACCGUGAAACGCGCCGCCUGGGAAGUACGGUCGCAAGGCUGAAACUUAAAGGAAUUGGCGGGGGAGCACCACAACAGGUGGAGCCUGCGGUUUAAUUGGACUCAACGCCGGGAAGCUCACCGGAUAGGACAGCAGAAUGAUUGCCGGGCUGAAGAUUCUGCAUGACUAGCUGAGAGGAGGUGCAUGGCCGUCGUCAGUUCGUACUGUGAAGCAUCCUGUUAAGUCAGGCAACGAGCGAGACCCACGCCAACAGUUGCCAGCACGAUCCCCGGAUCGGUGGGGACACUGUUGGGACCGCCUCUGCUAAAGAGGAGGAAGGAAUGGGCAA
rnacentral:rRNA from 1 species